GUGUCAGCCGCCGCGGUAAUACGUAGGUGGCAAGCGUUGUCCGGAAUUACUGGGUGUAAAGGGUGCGUAGGCGGGCAUACAAGUCAGAUGUGAAAUCCCAGGGCUUAACCCUGGAACUGCAUUUGAAACUGUAUGUCUUGAGUGGAGGAGAGGUAAGUGGAAUUCCCAGUGUAGCGGUGAAAUGCGUAGAUAUUGGGAGGAACACCAGUGGCGAAGGCGACUUACUGGACUCUAACUGACGCUGAGGCACGAAAGCGUGGGGAGCAAACAGGAUUAGAUACCCUGGUAGUCCACGCUGUAAACGAUGAUUACUAGGUGUAGGGGGUAUCGACUCCCCCUGUGCCGCAGUUAACACAAUAAGUAAUCCACCUGGGGAGUACGGCCGCAAGGUUGAA
rnacentral:rRNA from 1 species